CUACGGGUUGCUGCAGUGGGGAAUAUUGGGCAAUGGGCGCAAGCCUGACCCAGCAACGCCGCGUGAGGGAAGAAGGUUUUCGGAUUGUAAACCUCUGUCCUUGGGGACGAAGAAGUGACGGUACCCAAGGGGGAAGCUCCGGCUAACUACGUGCCAGCAGCCGCGGUAAUACGUAGGGAGCAAGCGUUGUCCGGAAUUACUGGGCGUAAAGGGUGCGUAGGCGGCAUAUUAAGUCAGGUGUGAAAUACUCGGGCUCAACCCGGGGGCUGCAUUUGAAACUGAUAUGCUUGAGUGUGAGAGAGGAAAGUGGAAUUCCUAGUGUAGCGGUGGAAUGCGUAGAUAUUAGGAGGAACACCAGUGGCGAAGGCGACUUUCUGGCUCAUAACUGACGCUGAGGCACGAAAGCGUGGGGAGCAAACAGGAUUAGAUACCCCUGUAGUC
rnacentral:rRNA from 1 species